rnacentral:rRNA from 1 species
AACGAACGCUGGCGGCAGGCCUAACACAUGCAAGUCGAACGCUCGUAGCAAUACGGGAGUGGCAGACGGGUGAGUAACACGUGGGAACGUACCCUUCGGUUCGGGAUAACUCAGGGAAACUUGAGCUAAUACCGGAUACGUCCGAGAGGAGAAAGGUUUACUGCCGAAGGAUCGGCCCGCGUCUGAUUAGCUAGUUGGUGAGGUAACGGCUCACCAAGGCGACGAUCAGUAGCUGGUCUGAGAGGAUGAUCAGCCACAUUGGGACUGAGACACGGCCCAAACUCCUACGGGAGGCAGCAGUGGGGAAUAUUGGACAAUGGGCGCAAGCCUGAUCCAGCCAUGCCGCGUGAGUGAUGAAGGCCCUAGGGUUGUAAAGCUCUUUUACCUGGGAAGAUAAUGACUGUACCAGGAGAAUAAGCCCCGGCUAACUUCGUGCCAGCCGCCGCCGUAACAC